rnacentral:lncRNA from 1 species
CUUAUGCAUAAAUCCAAAGUACCUUAAAUGAUCCAUGAUCAAUUAGGAGGUAAAUUUGAAAUGAUUAAAGUUCAUCAAGCAUCAAUCCACACAUCAUGAUAAAAAUGGACACAAACCAUACAAUUGAUUAAAAGAAAAAAAGAGAUGAUGAAGAAGAGGACAAGAGAGAUCACACCCAAAUUGGAUCAAAGGCUUGAUCAAGUCACCAUCAAGAGAUGAUGAAACCAAUGUUAAAAUCAACUAAGAUCCAAGGCUAACAGAUAUAAAAUAUAAAGAAAAAUAAGAUAAAAUGCAUUAAAACAAUUUUAAAAUGAAUUUUAAAAGGGAAAAAA